rnacentral:rRNA from 1 species
UACAGAGGUCUCGAGCGUUAGGCGGAAUCACUGGGCUUAAAGCGUGUGUAGGCGGAUUGGUAAGUACUUUGUGAAAUCCCACGGCUUAACCGUGGAGCUGCUUGGUAUACUGCCAGUCUUGAGCCAGCUAGGGGCUACCGGAACAAAUGGUGGAGCGGUGAAAUGCGUAGAUAUCAUUUGGAACGCCAAUGGUGAAAACAGGUAGCUGGGGCUGUGCUGACGCUGAGACACGAAAGCCAGGGGAGCAAACGGG